UACGUAGGGUGCGAGCGUUAAUCGGAAUUACUGGGCGUAAAAGCGUGCGCAGGCGGCGCGUUAAGACAGGUGUGAAAGCCCCCGAGCUUAACUUGGGAAAUUGCGCUUUGUGACUGGCGUGCUGGAGUGUGGCAGAGGGAGGUGGAAUUCCACGUGUAGCAGUGAAAAUGCGCAGAUAUCAGGAGGAACACCGGUGGCGAAAGGCGGGGUCUCUGGGGCAACAACUGACGCUGAGGAGCGAAAAGCGUGGGGGAGCGAACAGG
rnacentral:rRNA from 1 species